CACCAUAUGUAGAUCUGGCUGGGAGCCCCGCCGUCGACGAGGGCCACACCGGCGAUCUCGCGCAACCUACCUGCCUCCUGUUUCCUCUCCGUUCUCCUCCUUCUCUCUCCGAUCCUUGUUCAUCCGCGGCCGCCCGAGCUCGCCACGAUUCAUGGCCCUCUCCUUCUGCCAACUCUGGUCCGUCGCCGGUCGUCUGUGGCACGAGCGUCGCGCCUCCUCCUCGACCUCCUCGAUCCGCGAUGCCCUGACUGCACUACACACGUGCGCCUCGCAAUCCAUGACCGCCUUUUGCCGAGCUGCGGGAUCGACGUCUGACCACCACCAUGACCGGCCUCUUGCGAAGGUCCCGGUCGCAGUCUCCUAUGCCUUUGGACCUUGGGAGCGACUGGGUGAUUAUAUGCCAGACGCCAAAAGCAAUAUUGCAACACCAUGCGUGAGGAACAUGAUUCUGCCAGUAUUUAAGCAGUAUACUUGCUAACACUGAGAGCUUAAUUAUCUUUGAUGCAACCAGUCCGUCCAAGCAUCCAAAUAGUUGAUUUGGGAUGUAGAGAUUAAAGAACAGUAGGACGUCAGGUUCAGAAUUGCCUUGGCAUCUUCCAGUGUGGGACGAUGUUGAUUGUCGGGAUUUGAAGAUAUGUGUGCCCCCAUACCGUGGUUGAGCCUGUCGGUUUCGCACAGUGGCUGCACGACACCUCAUGGACCCGAUGUGAAGGACAAGUAAGCCAUCCACACGAAGUCGGCGGCAGCAAGGGUGUGGGGCGUCGGGAGGAGCAUCUGGGUUGAAGGUUCUGGCCCUCGCCAUUGAGACUACCGUGUUCGUCGCCGAGUACAUCUGGUCAAGAACAAUUGAUUUUAUCGGCAACAGGAGGCGCUUAUCAGUCGCCAUCAAGUGCCUCAACCAGUGCGGCGUCCAGCAUGUUUGGGCUGGGGAGACAGAGAUGGUAUGCGGAGUAAGAAGAGUGAUUUAAGGGGAGAGAAAUCAUAACAGGGGUUGGUGGAGCAGAAGAGGGCGAAGGAAGACUUGUGGGGAGCUGCGAGGAAUAGAUUUUGGGAUUUGUUUCCUUAUAGGAUAUCCUGCCGAUUUGAUCUAUUUUUGGCUAGAGCACAUGGGAUCAAACCAGAGGUAAUCAAUUUUCUAUGUUCACCUGAUUAGUUAUAAGGAAUUUAUUACCUCUGUUUUAUUUCCAGGAUACCCAAACCAGUGGUAACGUUUUUUAUGGCUUUGAAAUUCUGUACAAGGUAAUUACUUGUGGUUUCAAGGUUGCGCAAAGGAGAGGAGGCAUGGUUCAAGGUCGUCUUCUGGCACUGGUUUGCCAGCUAGGUCCUCGACAACAUCUGCGCCUCAUAGGGCAGAUAUUCCACCGUGCAUUGUAUUUGACCAUACUUAACCAAGUUGAUUCAUAUCAAUAAGUAUCUUUUGGUUUUCUUCCAGUUUAUUAGGCAUGGUCCCAGACACAAAUUCUGAAGCUUCAAUAAUUUGGGUGGUCUAAUAGUUCCUGUAUAGCUUGAUGUUGUAUCAGGUGUAAUAUUUUGUUGUUGCUUGAUGUUGAAUCAAGACAAGCUAGGGUCAACAAGGAACAGAGGGGUUGACACAUGGAGAAGCGGGAGCAUAAAAUUCAAAAGGUAUUGAACAUGUGUAUGGAUUACAUUGGUGAGUGAAUGGUGUGGCACAUUGAGUCAGAGAGGAGUAGUUGCUUGUCUGGUAUGAAAAACAGUUGUUUCUCGAUUAGAUUAAGGCGAAACUUAUCUUCAACAUGUGUGGUCUUUCAUCACCAUUUCAAAAGAGGUUCAAUGCAAAAUCCUCAGACUGCCAAUUUUUACUUCA